rnacentral:rRNA from 1 species
AGAGUUUGAUCCUGGCUCAGGACGAACGCUGGCGGCGCGCCUAACACAUGCAAGUCGAACGGAGCUUAGAGAGCUUGCUUUUUAAGCUUAGUGGCGAACGGGUGAGUAACGCGUGAGUAACCUGCCCUAGAGUGGGGGACAACAGUUGGAAACGACUGCUAAUACCGCAUAAGCCCACGGUGCCGCAUGACACUGAGGGAAAAGGAUUUAUUCGCUUUAGGAUGGACUCGCGUCCAAUUAGCUAGUUGGUGAGGUAACGGCCCACCAAGGCGACGAUUGGUAGCCGGACUGAGAGGUUGAACGGCCACAUUGGGACUGAGACACGGCCCAGACUCCUACGGGAGGCAGCAGUGGGGGAUAUUGCACAAUGGGGGAAACCCUGAUGCAGCGACGCCGCGUGGAGGAAGAAGGUUUUCGGAUUGUAAACUCCUGUCGUUAGGGACGAUAAUGACGGUACCUAACAAGAAAGCACCGGCUAACUACGUGCCAGCAGCCGCGGUAAAACGUAGGGUGCAAGCGUUGUCCGGAAUUACUGGGUGUAAAGGGAGCGCAGGCGGGAAGACAAGUUGGAAGUGAAAACCAUGGGCUCAACCCAUGAAUUGCUUUCAAAACUGUUUUUCUUGAGUAGUGCAGAGGUAGAUGGAAUUCCCGGUGUAGCGGUGGAAUGCGUAGAUAUCGGGAGGAACACCAGUGGCGAAGGCGGUCUACUGGGCACCAACUGACGCUGAGGCUCGAAAGCAUGGGUAGCAAACAGGAUUAGAUACCCUGGUAGUCCAUGCCGUAAACGAUGAUUACUAGGUGUUGGAGGAUUGACCCCUUCAGUGCCGCAGUUAACACAAUAAGUAAUCCACCUGGGGAGUACGACCGCAAGGUUGAAACUCAAAGGA